rnacentral:rRNA from 1 species
CAGUCGUCGCGGUAAUACGUAGGGUGCAAGCGUUAAUCGGAAUUACUGGGCGUAAAGCGUGCGCAGGCGGUUAUAUAAGACAGAUGUGAAAUCCCCGGGCUCAACCUGGGAACUGCAUUUGUGACUGUAUAGCUAGAGUACGGCAGAGGGGGAUGGAAUUCCGCGUGUAGCAGUGAAAUGCGUAGAUAUGCGGAGGAACACCGAUGGCGAAGGCAAUCCCCUGGGCCUGUACUGACGCUCAUGCACGAAAGCGUGGGGAGCAAACAGGAUUAGAUACCCAGUAGUCCCUGUCUCUUAUACA